UGGGGAAUAUUGCGCAAUGGGCGAAAGCCUGACGCAGCGACGCCGCGUGGGCGAUGAAGGCCUUCGGGUCGUAAAGCCCUGUCGGGUGGAACGAACGCCAGGUUGGCUAAUAUCCGACCUGGCCGACGGUACCACCGAAGGAAGCCCCGGCUAACUACGUGCCAGCAGCCGCGGUAAUACGUAGGGGGCAAGCGUUGUUCGGAUUUACUGGGCGUAAAGCGCGCGUAGGCGGCUUCGCAAGUCCGAUGUGAAAUCCCCGGGCUCAACCCGGGAUCCGCGUCGGAAACUGCGAGACUUGAGUGCAGGAGAGGAGAGCGGAAUUCCCAGUGUAGCGGUGAAAUGCGUAGAUACUGGGAGGAACACCGGUGGCGAAGGCGGCUCUCUGGACUGCUACUGACGCUGAGGCGCGAAAGCUAGGGGAGCAAACGGGAUUAGAUACCCCGGUAGUCCUAGCCGUAAACGUUGGGCACUAGGUGUGGGAGGUAUCGACCCCUUCCGUGCCGCAGCUAACGCAUUAAGUGCCCCGCCUGGGGAGUACGGCCGCAAGGUUGA
rnacentral:rRNA from 1 species